AAGAAAGAAAGAUUUCCCAGGAUUUUUCAUUUUUUACAUGGGUGUUCACAGUGGUGUAUCAGCUUUCUCAGUGGUUUAACAGAUUGUCAAUUCUCAAAGCUCUUUACUGAUUGGUUUUUUUGUCAGACACGGAGGAAACCGGUACCAACUUCUCUUCGCAUCACUUCUGUAAGUACCUCCCAUGCAAAACCACCACAACCUUUCAUUUUAACCUAGUGAAAAAUGCAUAUUAUGCGAUUGGCUCUUUGCAAAUAUUAAAGUGAAUACUAUAUGUGUUAUGUUGGAAAAAUAUUAAUCUCUUUUAAGUAAAUAUAGCAUUAUAUUAGAAUAGAAACUAUGUGAUAUAAGACGCCUUUUGUAAGUAGCUCAAUGAUUGGAUAAGAAAUCAAGAAGUUCUACGCAUAGAGGUAGCAGCAACAAGACUCCUAGAUCCCAAGAUUAUUGCCUCCUUAUUGGGAUAACUCAGACUUUGAGGGACCAACAUGACUGAUUUACAAGAUGAGGGGGGCAAGUAGACAUUAAGCAGAAACAAACAGCCUUAGUUUUAAAAGGAAUGUUUGAAUCAUGUAUGAGACAUACGAGUAUGCAAUUGGCUAUUGCUUUAAAGGGUUAGUCCUCUGCUAGCAAAAUGCGCUUUUGUGGCAGAGCAAAAGCGCCCAGACAUCCGUAAUUCUUUGCUUUUUUAUUGUCUUUUAUUGUCCUAACUUUGAUUGUCCAAAUUCUUAUCACCCUAAUUUUAUUACUAUUUUCAUUGCACCUGAACUUCUAAAGCUUUAACACUAGUGAAUGGUGUAUUUCACAAACCCAACAUAAGUGGAAGCAAAUCAAGACUUAACAGACCUGCAGAGAAAGAAAGCAGCCAUGGCCUGGCUCAGCUCCCACGCUGCUGUCCAUGCGUCCCACCAUCCAAUCAGCUUAGUGCUCAUGCACUGUCCAUGUGUGCUCUUAGCCAAUCAGCUUCCUGCUCAUACACUGUCCACGCAUUGCUUCAGCCAAUCAGCUUCCUGCUCAUGCACAGUCCAUGUGUCCCUCCAGCCAAUCACAAACUCACUUCCCCCGAACUCUCUGCUCACUCCUAACUGCCUCUCCCCACUCAACCAAUGCCCGACCAUGCAGCCAGCACGGUGCCUUGUCCAUGGGGCAUUCUGGGAUCGGUUGCACAGACUCAUCUCUGAGGAUGCGUAUGGUCAGAAUAAACCUGGAGUCAUGGACUUAAGAGUGGUGCUCAGCCCGUUGAUGUCAAUUAUUCCCUGGAGCUCGUUGCAGCACAUCGGGAAUUGUCCUGGUUCCACCAGUGUCCAGUCCACGUUUCCCAGGAUGUUGCAGUGAUACCAACUUCACACAACCUCUAUUCUUUGCCUGAGAACUCCCUCCAGACACAAAGGGCGUUGAAGUUUCUCUGUCUCUGCGGAGCUCUCCUGAAAUAGCUGUCAACGGCUAUAAUAGUUUUUGUUAGCAGCUCACCAACUUCUCGAACACCUCUAUUCUAAAUAAAUGAGUUUUUCCCAAA